rnacentral:rRNA from 1 species
CACGUAGGGUGCGAGCGUUGUCCGGAAUUAUUGGGCGUAAAGAGCUCGUAGGCGGUCUGUCGCGUCGGGAGUGAAAACUCAGGGCUUAACCCUGAGCCUGCUUCCGAUACGGGCAGACUAGAGGUAUGCAGGGGAGAACGGAAUUCCUGGUGUAGCGGUGGAAUGCGCAGAUAUCAGGAGGAACACCGGUGGCGAAGGCGGUUCUCUGGGCAUUACCUGACGCUGAGGAGCGAAAGCAUGGGGAGCAAACAGG